AUGAACUGAGAUGAAGUGCUCUCUGAAACUGAAUAUAAAUCUUUUUAUUGUUUCAGGGUUUCGUUUUGGCCAUGUUUCAUUAACAAUAGUGUGUGUGCCGUUGGCAUUAUACUAACAGUUCAGGAGGCUGUAGAUUGAUUUCAUCCCUAUCAUGAAUUGAUACAAACCCUGUUCAGGAACCUCCUGCUUUCCUAUCAAAGCCUUGUGAUGACACUAAAAAGUCACCAGUCUAUGAGCUGAUCACCUUUCACACAAUCAAAGAAAAGUGUUUCAGCUACAGGAGAGCACAGCGUUGUAGACAACUUUCUUGCACGCAGGACACUUACUUUUGAGGACUGUGGCAAAAACGUUUUUAGAAACUCUCUCAUCUUCAGGAACCACAUCACGUAGUGUCCCACAAACAGCAGAGGCAUCACAUGAUCCAUGAUCCUCUGCUUCUGGUUCUUCUGUGCGCAGUCCACCAUCUCUGCAUUAGAAAGUUCAAAACACAUGAACCCUUUCUAAAGCUUCUCCACAUCUUCCUGACUAUGAUCAUGAUGUGCUUCACUGGAAUUGUUCUCAUCAGCAGAGGAUCUGGAUGAAAACAUAGCUGGAAUAAAUGGGUCUAUGGCCAGGCUCCACUCCUGUGAGCAACCCUAUGAAGACCGUGUCACUGUGGCGUUUACCUCCUCAGCCAGAGCUGAUAGACACAGCCAUGUACCAGGGCCUAGCAAACCAGUACAAAAUUGCAGAUGUGGAGAAGGCACAGUACCAGUGGGUAGACAGGUGAGGUGUUUUAAUUGGCACAAAACUGACUGCCUACAAUUUUUUGACAUAGUAUGGGCAUAGAUAAUGAGUAUUACACUUCAUAUUUACUGAUGAAUGUUGGAAUGAUUGUUUAACAACAGCGGUAACAUUUAAAUACACAUUUCUGUCGUGCUUUCAGGGAUUGUUGUGCAGCAUUUAGAGUGCCAGAACUUCAGGGCAAGAGAACACCUGAACUGGAAAGCUUGGAAGACUACAGAUGCCAUUAUUGCUGAGGGUGCUUCUGGUGACUUUCGAAACACAUGUGCAUCAAGGUCUCACUUUAAUCAACACAUCAUAAUCAAGCUGGAAGUUGAUGUCACAGAGGGACAUCACAGCAGGAGGGCUACCACUUCCACCAGGCUCAAUGGAUCACUGGCACACGUGUUUCCUCAGAGCUGUUUCAAACACAGGGGAUGAUUGGAGUGGCCCGCUGAAACGUCUGGUGGACCUAAAACCAUUGGGUGUUAAUCUCCCUGGUGUGUUUGACUCAUCUCUUAUUGCAGACAUCAAUACCGUGUCUAGAGAGGGUGUUAGGCAUGCCUAAGUAUCCUGCUCUUCAGGUAUCCAACAAAGAUUCUCAGGAGAGGUUUGAGUUUGUUGAACCUGGAUGUCGUCCUGUUGUGCUUUAUUGGAGAAAGCACAGGAGCAAGACAGAUUUGCCUUUGCAUCCAGCUAAGCGUAGCCCAAGCCCACUGCCCAGGCUGGAGACCUUUCUGCUGAUCUUGUUGUGCCAUCAAGUCAUGAUGAGCCAGGGUCAGGAUUACCACCAUUGAUGUGCCCUUGCUGUCCUCAUAUCAUUGUGCUGAUGUAGAGCUGCAGUCAAAACCAGGUUGUUGAUGAAAGUGCUAUUAUUCUUGUUGAAUCCAUUGACGUGCUGCCUGUGCCAUCGGUGUCAUUGCCUUAAAGUGCCUGCAUAAAGCCUCAGACAGAGAUAGAAACCACACAUAUUCCCCUGCUGCCCGUAGUGGCCUCACAUGCAAAGGCCCGUACCGGACUAG